rnacentral:rRNA from 1 species
UACAGAGACUGCAAGCGUUAUUCGGAUUCACUGGGCGUAAAGGGUGCGCAGGCGGCCAAGUGUGUGAGGCGUGAAAGCCCGGGGCUUAACCCCGGAAUUGCACCUCAAACUACAUGGCUAGAGCAUUGGAGAGGUAGCUGGAAUUAUCGGUGUAGCAGUGAAAUGCGUGGAUAUCGAUAGGAACACUCGUGGCGAAGGCGAGCUACUGGACAACAUCUGACGCUGAGGCUCGAAGGCCAGGGGAGCAAAAGGG